UACGUAGGGUGCAAGCGUUAAUCGGAAUACUGGGCGUAAAGCGUGCGCAGGCGGUGAUGUAAGACAGAUGUGAAAUCCCCGGGCUCAACCUGGGAACUGCAUUUGUGACUGCAUCGCUGGAGUGCGGCAGAGGGGAUGGAAUUCCGCGUGUAGCAGUGAAAUGCGUAGAUAUGCGGAGGAACACCGAUGGCGAAGGCAAUCCCCUGGGCCUGCACUGACGCUCAUGCACGAAAGCGUGGGGAGCAAACAGG
rnacentral:rRNA from 1 species